ensembl:lncRNA
CUGUCCAAGAUAAACACGAGCUCUGCGCAAAGGGCCAAAUGAUCAGCAAGACACAAAGAAACGAAGAACCCCUGCGACUCUUUGUGGGGUUUUGUCAAAUGCUUAGGAGGAGGAUGUAGCUUAUCUUCUUCAUAACCCUGAAGAGAAUCUGCAGCACUUCAUAAAAGCAAAUGCCACUAACCACCGGAGAAGCCGCCUAUACUUACGACGUUCAUCCCUUUUGUCGCUGUGGCUGUUGGCCCUUCUUUCCCAUUUGCCAGCCCACGUCCAGGAUUAUGCGGAAAAGCUUUUGAUUGUCUUUGCAACCCGCUGCGGCCCCAAGUGCAGCAGUAAAAGGGCCUUUCAAAGGGCUGGUAAGAAGUCCCAGCCAAGAGAAGAUAUCUCUCUGUAGAUACCCAACGCUAUUACGGCAGGAGCAUCCACUACUGCAUCUCAACGACACUGCCCACCAUCUCUACCAAAACACCACCACCAUAACAAGGUUCCAAACUCACACCGUUAUCGUGGAGCGAGGGCAGGCGUCUGCCAUUGUACGGAUUUACACCUAAACCUCAGAGAAGCAGCCAGGCCGGGGCUGGGACAGCCAGCGGCCCCGGGCCCGACUCCCCGGAAGGCCGGAGCCAUCCCGAGCCGACUGCCGGGAGCGCCCUGGGCGCCGCCCACCACCGCACGGGCCACUCACAGCCCGACUUCCGGGAGCACAGCCGGUGCGCUCCCCGCCCGACUUCCGGGCGCGCCACGGCCCUCCACCGCCCGCACGCCGCGCCAGGAAGCCCCGCCCCGCCCCGCCCCGCCCGGAAGGCGGAACGGCGGACCCGGCCGCCAACGCCGCCGCGCAGACGCACCCGAGCGCGACUUACUUUCGUUUCCGAGGCGAACUUCCUCAGGCCCCGCGAGCCGAGAAGCGGCGGCGGCAGGGGCAGGGCGGGUCCCGCCGCCGCGGCAGCACGCCCGAGCCGGAGAUGGGGUCCCUGGGGCCGGAGCUCGUGGGCUCGGGAGACCGGGCCGCAGAGUGGCCGUCCCGCUGCGUUCACCGCGCCUGGCUCCGUGGCCUGCGUCCGGCGCGUCCAGCCGCAGCCCGCGCUCGCUCGCUCCGGGGUCGUCGCGUCGGCGCGCCUCGGGGGGUGGGCCCGCAGGGACCGCCGCGUCGGGAGCCCGCGUCCGGCCCGCGCCGUUUCUCCCCGAGCUACUGAGCCCGGCCGGCGGGAGGGCGUGGACUGCUCGCCCCGCCCCUGCCCUGCCCGGGAGGAGGAGAAAGAGGAGGAGAAGGACCGGGCGAGCGCCCGCCCCCGCCAGCCGGGCCUGGGACCCCGUUUUAGAAACCCAGUGAUCUGUCAGCCUAGGGAUCGGGGCUUCACCUUGGUUUAAAGCGAAUUGGGAGGCCAGAAGAAAAGAGGAAAUGUCAUCUGGUCGUAGGAACCUCCGCGGGGGGAGAGGCAGCUUGGCCCCGGGGAACACGCUGGGUGAAUUACCCAGGGGAAUGCGAGCUCGCUGUGGACCCCGCUGGAACCUCAGGCAAAUUACCGUUCUCACCUCCGUUCACCUGUAAAGUGGGGAUAAUAACAUCUAGUCUGCGGGGCUGCGGAGGAAGAAAUGUGGUAUUUACUUUGCAGCCCCUUCAAAUGGUGAUUGGGCAGUCUCAGGCAAAAUGGGAAAUGCUUGCUGUAGUGUUAUAUUGAAAGCAAAUUAUAUGCUCAGCAUGGUUGCAUAGUGUAAAAAGAUGUAUACAUCAAGAAAAUGAGAAGCCACAAACUGGGAGUAAAUAUUUGCAAAAGACGUAUCUGAUAAAGGACUGUUACCCAAAAUACAGUUAAGAACUCUUAAAACUCAACAAUAAGAAAAUGAAUGACCCAAUUAGAAAGUGGGCAAAAGAUCUGAACAGACGCUUCAUGAUACAGAUAACAAGCAUGUGAAAAGCUGCUCAACAUCAUAGGUCAUUAGGGAAUUGCAAAUUUGAAAAACACUGAGAUACCACUACAUGCCUAUUAGAAUGGCUAAAAUCUGAAACACUGACAACACCAGAUGUUGGUGAAGAUGUGGAACAAUAGGAAUUCUCAUUCAUUGUUGGCAUGAAUGUAAAAUGGUACAGUACUUUGGAAGAAUGUUUGGCAGUUUCUUAAAAAGCUAAAAAUGGUCUUACUAUCGAUCCAGCAGUCAGAUGCCUUGGUAUUUACCCAAGUGAGUCGAAAGCUUAUGUCCACACAAAAACCUGCAAAUGAAUGUUUAUAGCACCUUUAUUCGUAAUUGCCAAACUUUGAAGGCAGCCAAGGUGUCUUUCAGUAGGUGAAUGGACAAAAACACUGUGAUCUGUCCAGACAAUGGAGUAUCAUUCAGCACUAAAAAGUGAGCUGUGAAGCCACAAAAAGACGUGGAGGAGAUUUAAAUGCUUAUUUCUAAGUGAAAGAAGCCAAUUUGAAAAAAACCAUAUAAUGCAUGAUUCCAACUAUCUGCCAUUCUGGAGAAGAUAGACAAAAGCUUAGAAGAUUUAUUGCCAGGAGAGCUGCGCUACAAGAAAUACUAAAGGGAGUUCUAUAUGCUGAAAGAAAGUGAUAUCAGAGAGAGCCCAGAAUGACAGGAAGGAAAAAAGUAUACUGGAAAGGGCUAACCAUGAGAGAAAGUCGGGCACAUUCCGUUAGAGGAACGUCCUACAAUAUACCUAACCAGUAUUCUUCAAAACUGAUGAGGUAUCAAAGACAAGAAUCUCUGAAAAUUGUCACAGAUAAGAAGAGCCUAAGAAGACAUGACAAUGAAAUGGUACAUGAUAUCCUGGAUGGGAUCUUGGAACAGAAAAAA